rnacentral:rRNA from 1 species
AUUAGACGAAUCAUCUGGAAAGAUGAAUCAAAGAAGGUAAUAAUCCUGUAGUCGAAAAUGUUGUCUCUCUUGAGUGGAUCCUGAGUACGACGGAGCACGUGAAAUUCCGUCGGAAUCUGGGAGGACCAUCUCCUAAGGCUAAAUACUCUCUAGUGACCGAUAGUGAACCAGUACCGUGAGGGAAAGGUGAAAAGCACCCCGGAAGGGGAGUGAAAUAGAACCUGAAACCGUGUGCUUACAAGUAGUCAGAGCCCGUUAAUGGGUGAUGGCGUGCCUUUUGUAGAAUGAACCGGCGAGUUACGAUUUGAUGCAAGGUUAAGCAGUAAAUGUGGAGCCGUAGCGAAAGCGAGUCUGAAUAGGGCGUUUAGUAUUUGGUCGUAGACCCGAAACCAGGUGAUCUACCCUUGGUCAGGUUGAAGUUCAGGUAACACUGAAUGGAGGACCGAACCGACUUACGUUGAAAAGUGAGCGGAUGAACUGAGGGUAGCGGAGAAAUUCCAAUCGAACCUGGAGAUAGCUGGUUCUCUCCGAAAUAGCUUUAGGGCUAGCCUCAAGUGAUGAUUAUUGGAGGUAGAGCACUGUUUGGACGAGGGGCCCCUCUCGGGUUACCGAAUUCAGACAAACUCCGAAUGCCAAUUAAUUUAACUUGGGAGUCAGAACAUGGGUGAUAAGGUCCGUGUUCGAAAGGGAAACAGCCCAGACCACCAGCUAAGGUCCCAAAAUAUAUGUUAAGUGGAAAAGGAUGUGGCGUUGCCCAGACAACUAGGAUGUUGGCUUAGAAGCAGCCAUCAUUUAAAGAGUGCGUAAUAGCUCACUAGUCGAGUGACACUGCGCCGAAAAUGUACCGGGGCUAAACAUAUUACCGAAGCUGUGGAUUGUCCUUUGGACAAUGGUAGGAGAGCGUUCUAAGGGCGUUGAAGCAUGAUCGUAAGGACAUGUGGAGCGCUUAGAAGUGAGAAUGCCGGUGUGAGUAGCGAAAGACGGGUGAGAAUCCCGUCCACCGAUUGACUAAGGUUUCCAGAGGAAGGCUCGUCCGCUCUGGGUUAGUCGGGUCCUAAGCUGAGGCCGACAGGCGUAGGCGAUGGAUAACAGGUUGAUAUUCCUGUACCACCUAUAAUCGUUUUAAUCGAUGGGGGGACGCAGUAGGAUAGGCGAAGCGUGCGAUUGGAUUGCACGUCUAAGCAGUAAGGCUGAGUAUUAGGCAAAUCCGGUACUCGUUAAGGCUGAGCUGUGAUGGGGAGAAGACAUUGUGUCUUCGAGUCGUUGAUUUCACACUGCCGAGAAAAGCCUCUAGAUAGAAAAUAGGUGCCCGUACCGCAAACCGACACAGGUAGUCAAGAUGAGAAUUCUAAGGUGAGCGAGCGAACUCUCGUUAAGGAACUCGGCAAAAUGACCCCGUAACUUCGGGAGAAGGGGUGCUCUUUAGGGUUAACGUCCAGAAGAGCCGCAGUGAAUAGGCCCAAGCGACUGUUUAUCAAAAACACAGGUCUCUGCUAAACCGUAAGGUGAUGUAUAGGGGCUGACGCCUGCCCGGUGCUGGAAGGUUAAGAGGAGUGGUUAGCUUCUGCGAAGCUACGAAUCGAAGCCCCAGUAAACGGCGGCCGUAACUAUAACGGUCCUAAGGUAGCGAAAUUCCUUGUCGGGUAAGUUCCGACCCGCACGAAAGGCGUAACGAUUUGGGCACUGUCUCAACGAGAGACUCGGUGAAAUCAUAGUACCUGUGAAGAUGCAGGUUACCCGCGACAGGACGGAAAGACCCCGUGGAGCUUUACUGUAGCCUGAUAUUGAAAUUCGGCACAGCUUGUACAGGAUAGGUAGGAGCCUUUGAAACGUGAGCGCUAGCUUACGUGGAGGCGCUGGUGGGAUACUACCCUAGCUGUGUUGGCUUUCUAACCCGCACCACUUAUCGUGGUGGGAGACAGUGUCAGGCGGGCAGUUUGACUGGGGCGGUCGCCUCCUAAAAGGUAACGGAGGCGCUCAAAGGUUCCCUCAGAAUGGUUGGAAAUCAUUCAUAGAGUGUAAAGGCAUAAGGGAGCUUGACUGCGAGACCUACAAGUCGAGCAGGGUCGAAAGACGGACUUAGUGAUCCGGUGGUUCCGCAUGGAAGGGCCAUCGCUCAACGGAUAAAAGCUACCCCGGGGAUAACAGGCUUAUCUCCCCCAAGAGUUCACAUCGACGGGGAGGUUUGGCACCUCGAUGUCGGCUCAUCGCAUCCUGGGGCUGUAGUCGGUCCCAAGGGUUGGGCUGUUCGCCCAUUAAAGCGGUACGCGAGCUGGGUUCAGAACGUCGUGAGACAGUUCGGUCCCUAUCCGUCGUGGGCGUAGGAAAUUUGAGAGGAGCUGUCCUUAGUACGAGAGGACCGGGAUGGACAUACCUCUGGUGUACCAGUUGUCGUGCCAACGGCAUAGCUGGGUAGCUAUGUGUGGACGGGAUAAGUGCUGAAAGCAUCUAAGCAUGAAGCCCCCCUCAAGAUGAGAUUUCCCAACUUCGGUUAUAAGAUCCCUCAAAGAUGAUGAGGUUAAUAGGUUCGAGGUGGAAGCAUGGUGACAUGUGGAGCUGACGAAUACUAAUCGAUCGAAGACUUAAUCAA